rnacentral:rRNA from 1 species
UACAGAGGGUGCAAGCAUUAAUCGGAUUUAUUGGGCGUAAAGAGCUCGUAGGCGGUUCGUCGCGUCGGCUGUGAAAUCCCGAGGCUCAACCUCGGGUCUGCAGUCGAUACGGGCGGACUGGAGUUCGGCAGGGGAGACUGGAAUUCCUGGUGUAGCGGUGAAAUGCGCAGAUAUCAGGAGGAACACCGGUGGCGAAGGCGGGUCUCUGGGCCGAUACUGACGCUGAGGAGCGAAAGCGUGGGGAGCGAACAGG